CCUUGGCCAAUGAAUAAGCCCUCUGUAACCAGAAGGACCUCAAGGGAGACUGGACCAAUGAAUCAGCGCAACCUCCCUGAGAUAAGGCUCACAGAUUUGUUCUCUUUCAUCGGGAAAUCACAAGCAGCGCAGGGGCUGAGGAGGUGGCUCAGCUGCUGUCUUAGUCACUUUUCUAUCACUGUGAUAAAACACCAUGACUGACCGUGGCAACCUACAGAAGAACAAGUUUAUCUGGGCCAAGUUUCCAGAGGAUACGAUUGUCAUGGCGGGGAAGUGUGUCAUCAAGCUGCCGGAACCGGAAGUUGAGGGCUCACAUCUGCAUGAAGGGGGAGAGAACAAAGGAGAAAUGCUCCCUCCUUCCGUCUUCCACAGCUGUCAUCCGCUGUGACAGUGUUGUCAAUCUAGAAGGGAAGUCGGGACAGGAACGCAAGGCAGAAGCUUGAAGACAGGAACUGAAGCAGAAGCCGUGGAGGAGUGCUGUUUGCCGGCUUGUUUUCCAUGGAUUUUCAGAGUGCUUUUUCAUACAACCCGGGACUGGCAGCCUAAGGAUGGCUCCACCCACAAUGGGCUGGGCCCCUCCCACUUUAAUCAUUAAUCAAGAACACUCCCCUCAGACUUGCUAACGGACUAAGCUACUUAUCAGCCCUUGCCUCCUCCUGUGCAGCCAUCCUGCCUCUCUCCCCAUUUGCACUCAACAUGGGGCCAAAGGGUCCUUAUAAGACGGAGUCACUCAGAGCAAGGCACAGUCUAAAGGCCGGUUUUACACAUUCUGCAUAAUCCAGAGAAGAACACUCCUGCUGUCCAUAUCUGUUUCAGUGUCUGGCUGUGAUGCAACCUUGCCACAGCGUAUCUCCUCUGUCAUUCUUAUCUGGAUGAUGACGGAGUGGCCAUUUAAGAGAAAGAAUGACUUAUUCAAACCUGAGCUGGAUUCAUUUCACCAGGAUGAGAAAAAUGCACUUCGCCAAUGUGGAGACAACCUGGAAGUUCAGAUGUGGUGAGAAGUACAG